rnacentral:rRNA from 1 species
UACGGAGGGUGCAAGCGUUGUCCGGAUUUAUUGGGUUUAAAGGGUGCGUAGGCGGUUCUUUAAGUCAGUGGUGAGAGCCUCCAGCUUAACUGGAGAAAUGCCAUUGAUACUGAAGAACUUGAGUACAGACGAGGUAGGCGGAAUUGACAGUGUAGCGGUGAAAUGCAUAGAUAUUGUCAAGAACACCGAUUGCGAAGGCAGCUUACUAGACUGUAACUGACGCUGAGGCACGAAAGUGCGGGGAUCAAACAGG